UACGGGGGGGGCAAGCGUUGUUCGGAAUUACUGGGCGUAAAGGGCUCGUAGGCGGCCAACUAAGUCAGACGUGAAAUCCCUCAGCUUAACUGGGGAACUGCGUCUGAUACUGGAUGGCUUGGAUUUGGGAGAGGGAUGCGGAAUUCCAGGUGUAGCGGUGAAAUGCGUAGAUAUCUGGAGGAACACCGGUGGCGAAGGCGGCAUCCUGGACCGGCAUUGACGCUGAGGCGCGAAAGCUAGGGGAGCAAACGGG
rnacentral:rRNA from 1 species